rnacentral:rRNA from 1 species
GAUGAACGCUGGCGGCGUGCCUAAUACAUGCAAGUCGAGCGAACGGACGAGAAGCUUGCUUCUCUGAUGUUAGCGGCGGACGGGUGAGUAACACGUGGAUAACCUACCUAUAAGACUGGGAUAACUUCGGGAAACCGGAGCUAAUACCGGAUAAUAUUUUGAACCGCAUGGUUCAAAAGUGAAAGACGGUCUUGCUGUCACUUAUAGAUGGAUCCGCGCUGCAUUAGCUAGUUGGUAAGGUAACGGCUUACCAAGGCAACGAUGCAUAGCCGACCUGAGAGGGUGAUCGGCCACACUGGAACUGAGACACGGUCCAGACUCCGACGGGAGGCAGCAGUAGGGAAUCUUCCGCAAUGGGCGAAAGCCUGACGGAGCAACGCCGCGUGAGUGAUGAAGGUCUGCGGAUCGUAAAACUCUGUUAUUAGGGAAGAACAUAUGUGUAAGUAACUGUGCACAUCUGGACGGUACCUAAGCAGAAAGCCACGGCUAACUACGU